UGGUGUUUGGGUACAUAGAACCCAGCACCGAGAGGGACCAUCAGAGGAUGUUCCAUGAGAACUUGGUGAGGGUUGUGGAGAGGUUGGCUGGUGCUUCUCCGUCUUCAUACAGAUGUCCAGACAGGGGACCAGAAGUCUCAGGUCUGAGCUCUACCUGGAAGCCCCUCACGUCUGUAGCCAUCAAACCUCCAGAUAAGACGAGCCCUGAAGCAUUUUGGUUGCAUCAGAAAACAGAUGGAAGGCCAGUCUUCACAGAUGCAUAUACUUCAUCCUGGCUUCCACCCACAGAGGUUGCAUCUGUGCAGAAAUUCAUCCCAGAGCACCAGGCAGGUGGGUAUCAACUCCUGCUGAGAUUUCGCUGUAUCAGGAAACUCAUGCAUCUGGUGCAACUGUCCCGGAGUGGCUCUGACAGUCCAGGGCUGGGCAGUGGAGACACUGAUGACAGCCUUGAGCAGAGUGG
rnacentral:lncRNA from 1 species